GAGGAUAUAGCUCAAGUGGUAGAGCGCAUGCCUAACAUGCACAAGGUCCUGGGCUCAAUCCCCAGUACUUCU
rnacentral:tRNA from 1 species